rnacentral:miRNA from 18 species
CUGCAAUUGGAUUUCGUUCCC